ACAUGAUGUUGAUGAUUCUUAAAUAAACAAGGACAUAAUGGACUCAUUAUCCAACAUUAGAGAGUUUAUUAAAGCUACCCAGUUCAUUGGUCAAAGAUCAGUGGACUCUCCAAGAGAACUGUCAAGCAUUUUCAAGGAUUUUGUUCUGUCCUCGCAUACUCAUUGAUGUGAGCAAGAUAGACAUGACCAGAAUUGUGACUGGGAGCAUUACUCCAAGUUAACCUCUGAGAUUGGAGACAAAGUACAGAUAAUGGGGGAUGACCUCUUGGUCACAAACCCAAAGGGGUUCAUGAUCCUUCCCAUAGGAGCUUCCUCUUUCAAGGAGGCAAUGAAGAUGGGUGUGGAAGUAUAUCUUCAUUUGAAGACAGAAAACUAUUAGAGAGGCCAUAAUGUUGAGUCGUUGUUGAGAUGUUGUUGUAGGCUUUUUCUUGAUUAGAAAUCAUGGAA